CAAUAGCGUAUAUUAAAGUUGUUGCAGUUAAAAAGCUCGUAGUUGGAUUUCGGGGUGGCCUGCCUGGUCCACCGCAAGGUGAGUACUGGUCAGCCGCCCUUCCUCUCGAAAGCCCCGACUGCUCUUCAUUGCAGUGGUCGGGUAGUUCGGGACGUUUACUUUGAAAAAAUUAGGGUGUUCAAGGCAGGCUAUCGCCUGAAUACAUUAGCAUGGAAUAAUGGAAGAGGACCUCGGUCCUAUUUUGUUGGUUUCUAGGGCCGAAGUAAUGAUUAAGAGGGACAGUUGGGGGCAUUCGUAUUUAAUUGUCAGAGGUGAAAUUCUUGGAUUUAUGAAAGACGAACUAGUGCGAAAGCAUUUGCCAAGGAUGUUUUCAUUAA
rnacentral:rRNA from 1 species